GCGGGUGUAGCUCAAUGGUAGAGCAUUAGCUUCCCAAGCUAGUGACGAGGGUUCGAUUCCCUUCACCCGCUC
rnacentral:tRNA from 1 species